rnacentral:pre_miRNA from 1 species
CCAACUUCAGGCUCAGGAGGCAGUGUGAGUUCUUGUGAUUGCAUCUGCGACUGAAACUGAGACUGCAUCUGGAUGAAGGAUA